CUUGGGCAUAACAUCUCCACAGGUGGCCUCGUUCCGAGUUAUGGCGGAUUUUGGUGGUAGCAUGGCCUACUGAGUGCUCGCUGUGCUUCGUGUUAGUGAAUCUUUUGUGGGGCAGACCAUUAUUUGGACACAGCAGGAGGAUUCCUGGCUGUGGUGCGUCCCAUGUGGGGACUUCGGAUGGUUCUGUUUUUAGUUUGGAUUCACCUUAGUUUACACACUCA